CUUGACUUCCAAAUAAGAGGUCCAGCCUGCCCAGUGAAUUUUUAACGGCCGCGGUAUCCUAACCGCGCGAAGGUAGCAUAAUCACUUGUUCUUUAAAUGGGGACUCGUAUCAACGGCAUCACGAGGGUUCUACUGUCUCCUCUUUUUGAUCAGUGAAAUUGAUCUUCCCGUGAAGAAGCGGGAAUAUUAAUAUAAGACGAGAAGACCCCAUGGAGCUUUAAACCAAAUAGCAACUUAACCAUAUAUUGCCUAAUAACUUUAAGCCCGUGCUACAAGGUUUUUGGUUGGGGUGACCGCGGAGUAAAACACAUCCUCCACGACGGAAAGACUUUAAUCUUUAUUUAAGAACUACAAUUCUAGAAAUUAGUAUACUAACGUU
rnacentral:rRNA from 1 species